AAGAAGACAGACAACCUAAUUAAAGAAUUUGAGGAGAGAAAGAAAGAAAGAGUGAUCGUCAUGGAGAGCAGGAGGAAGAAUCAACAGAAGACGAGCUACAUUGUAAUUUCCAUCCAGCUCCUAGCGGCCCUCCUACUCUUGGAGCUUGUGUCGCUAGUGCCGGGGGCGUCAUGCGAGGAGUUGCCCUUGGAUUUUUGGGUGAGUGCACUACGGGGGGUCGGGGCAAAGGACGUUUCAACAGCCGAUGGAUGCACCAAGAAGAAUAAGGACACCGUGCUCUGCUCUGCCCAGGCUAACACGGUAACCAAUUUCAUCAACCCUACCAACUCUGAGGAACAAGGCUAUAGGACCAUCGGGGAGUCCAUCGCUAACAUCCCUGAUGAUAGCACCAAACGGUACAUCCUCAUCCUCAGCGGUGGCACCGUGUACCGAGAGAAGGUAUUGGUGAGCAAAAGCAAGCCAUUCGUCACCAUAAGAUCAGAUGACCCCAUCAACCCUGCCAUCAUUGUGUGGAAUGACACUGCCGCCACCCUGGGGAAGGAUAGCAAGCCCCUUGGAGUAGAUGGUAGUAGCACCAUGACCGUAGAGUCCGACUACUUCAUUGCCUAUGGUGUCGUCUUUAGGAAUGAUGCUGCAGCAGCAGCGAAGAAGAAGAAGGCAGAAGGCGAGGCGCCAGCGUUGCGGGUGCUAGGAACAAAGGCAACCUUCUACAACUGCACAAUUGAAGGUGGACAAGGCGCCCUGUAUGACUAGAUGGGGCUGCACUACUUCAAGUCCUGCACCAUCAGGGGCACCAUCGACUUCAUCUUUGGCUCUGCCAAGUCCUUUUACGAGGACUGCGCCAUUGUUUCCGUCAACAACAUGGAGGAGAUCAUGACCUUGCCUGUGGCACCACCUCAACUUGACAUUCACGACAAUCCAAUCAAGGUUGCCCCAGGGGUGGGAGGCUUCUCCUUCAAGACAUGUACCAUCACCGGGGAAGGGCAACAAAUCUUCCUCGGAAGGAUGGGCACGCCUUCCAUCUACUCCUACACCCAGAUUGCUAAGGAGGUUGUGCCCAUAAUCUACGACAAAGGGAACAUCUUCAUGCCCAGUAAUAUGACUGGUAGACGCUGUGCCACUUUCAAGUGCUAUGGACCUGGGUUAGAGAAAAUAUGGCACGUCAAACUUAGAUACGCUGAAGCCAUAUACUUUCUUGGGACAGAUUUUAUCAACGGAGAUUCAUGGAUCCUGUCCAUACCACCUACUGAUGCUGAAACAUUGCUAUCAGUUUGAAUAUAUAGAAUCCUCAGAGAUCAUCAAAGAUCAUCAUCUACCACUAAUUAAUAAUGAGCCAAAUUAAAUAAGUUUUGCGUAUAUAUUUUAUCCCUAUCUAUAAAUUAUGCAUGUGUUGUAAACAAGUCGUGGAUGGGCUUCAUUUGUUCUCGCGAUUGAAAAAUAACAAAUAAACAAAGUAGAAAAGAGGAUGAACCAGAAGUCUUGUUCAGCAAGAAGGAAGGAGGAAUGACGAUAUUUCCCAUGUGAUACUUGUAAAUCAUAUGUGUAAACUUCGUGGGCGUGCUUGUAAUUUCAUACGAAGUUGUACCUCUCGUCUAUAAAUAGAGUAACAGUGUCAUGCAUAAAUUCACCUUUCGAGAGCUCAAAGCUUUAUUUAGCUCAGCCUUCGAAGUACCUUUGAGCUAUCACUUGUAUGAAGCCGAAGGUAUGUUUGUAAUUGUUUGUUAUAUUGCAAGGAGUGAAAUAAUAAGUGUGGAAGCAUGAAGAUGAGUAACAUGUCUUGCUCGUAAUUGUUUACAUUU